rnacentral:rRNA from 1 species
UACGUAGGGCGCAAGCGUUAUCCGGAAUUAUUGGGCGUAAAGAGCUCGUAGGCGGUUUGUCGCGUCUGCCGUGAAAGUCCGGGGCUCAACUCCGGAUCUGCGGUGGGUACGGGCAGACUAGAGUGAUGUAGGGGGAGACUGGAAUUCCUGGUGUAGCGGUGAAAUGCGCAGAUAUCAGGAGGAACACCAAUGGCGAAGGCAGCACUCUGGGGACGUGACUGACGCUGAGACGCGAAAGCGUGGGGGAGCAAACAGG